UCCCCCUUAGCUCAGUGGUAGAGCGCGUCACUAGUAAUCAAAAUACGAAAUGACGAGGUCAGUCGUUCAAGUCGGCUAGGGGGAA